rnacentral:rRNA from 1 species
GAUGAACGCUGGCGGCGUGCCUAAUACAUGCAAGUCGAGCGAACGGACGAGAAGCUUGCUUCUCUGAUGUUAGCGGCGGACGGGGGAGUAACAAGUGGAUAACCUCCCUAUAAGACUGGGUUAACUUCGGGAAACCGGAGCUAAUACCGCAUAAUAUUUUGAACCGCUUGGUUCAAAAGUGAGAGACGGUCUUGCUGUCACUUAUAGAUGGAUCCGCGCUGCAUUAGCUAGUUGGUAAGGUAACGGCUUACCAAGGCAACGAUGCAUAGCCGACCUGAGAGGGGGAUCGGCCACACUGGAACUGAGACACGGUCCAGACUCCUACGGGAGGCAGCAGUAGGGAAGCUUCCGCAAAGGGCGAAAGCCUGACGGAGCAACGCCGCGUGAUUGAGGAUGGUCGUCGGAUCGUAAAACUCUGUUAUUAGGGAAGAACAUAUGUGGAAGUAACUGUGCACAUCUUGACGGUACCUAAUCAGAAAGCCACGGCUAACUACGUG